UACGUAGGGGGCAAGCGUUGUCCGGAAUUAUUGGGCGUAAAGGGUGCGUAGGCGGCUUGGCAAGUGGGUGGUGAAAUCCCUCGGCUUAACCGAGGAACUGCCGUCCAAACUGCUUCGCUUGAGUCCGGGAGAGGUGAGUGGAAUUCCCAGUGUAGCGGUGAAAUGCGUAGAUAUUGGGAGGAACACCAGUGGCGAAGGCGGCUCACUGGACCGGUACUGACGCUGAUGCGCGAAAGCGUGGGGAGCAAACGGG
rnacentral:rRNA from 1 species